GGGGGUAUAACUCAGUCGGUAGAGUGCUUGCCGAGCAUGCACCAGGCCCUGGUUUCAAUCCCCAGUACCAUAA
rnacentral:tRNA from 1 species